AUACGGAGGGUGCGAGCGUUAAUCGGAAUUACUGGGCGUAAAGCGUACGUAGGCGGUUGGUUAAGUUAGAUGUGAAAGCCCCGGGCUUAACCUGGGAACUGCAUUUAAAACUGGCGAACUAGAGUUGAGUAGAGGGGAGUGGAAUUUCAGGUGUAGUGGUGAAAUGCGUAGAGAUCUGAAGGAACACCAGUGGCGAAGGCGACUCCCUGGACUCGAACUGACGCUGAGGUACGAAAGCGUGGGUAGCAAACGGGAUUAGAUACCCUAGUAGUCC
rnacentral:rRNA from 1 species